rnacentral:rRNA from 1 species
UACCAGCACCCCGAGUGGUCGGGACGUUUAUUGGGCCUAAAGCAUCCGUAGCCGGUUCUACAAGUCUUCCGUUUAAUCCAGCUGCUUAACAGAUGGGCUGCGGAAGAUACUAUGGAGCUAGGAGGCGGGAGAGGCAAGCGGUACUCGAUGGGUAGGGGUAAAAUCCGUUGAUCCAUUGAAGACCACCAGUGGCGAAGGCGGCUUGCCAGAACGCGCUCGACGGUGAGGGAUGAAAGCUGGGGGAGCAAACCGG